GAAAAGGAGCACCAUUUGCAGUACUUUUCGUAACAGCGCAUUGGGAAUCUCUAGAUAAGGCAACCUUAAGCUUUGGUACAACAAACACAUGAAUUGGUUCAAGUCAUUCAGGGAAAUUUCCAUUGGAGAAGUAACCCAGACAAAUGAAUGUUUGAGAGAUUGCAAAACACUAUAAGCUCUGGCUUCUAGAACUCUAAGCCUCACCUGAUAGCCCAUCUCAAUGAGUGAAGCUAGAGUUAAACAAAAUGUUUGCCCUUUGUUAAAUCAUACAAAGUUCCUUACAUUCUAGAAGGAAGAAAUUAGGGCGGAAGAAAUUAACAAAAGACAAGAAGGCUAAGAUC
rnacentral:misc_RNA from 1 species